rnacentral:rRNA from 1 species
UCCUCCCUCUUUCUUCGUGCCUAAUACAUGCAAGUUGAGCGCUGAAGGUUGGUACUUGUACCAACUGGAUGAGCAGCGAACGGGUGAGUAACGCGUGGGGAAUCUGCCUUUGAGCGGGGGACAACAUUUGGAAACGAAUGCUAAUACCGCAUAAAAACUUUAAACACAAGUUUUAAGUUUGAAAGAUGCAAUUGCCUCACUCAAAGAUGAUCCCGCGUUGUAUUAGCUAGUUGGUGAGGUAAAGGCUCACCAAGGCGAUGAUACAUAGCCGACCUGAGAGGGUGAUCGGCCACAUUGGGACUGAGACACGGCCCAAACUCCUACGGGAGGCAGCAGUAGGGAAUCUUCGGCAAUGGACGAAAGUCUGACCGAGCAACGCCGCGUGAGUGAAGAAGGUUUUCGGAUCGUAAAACUCUGUUGGUAGAGAAGAACGUUGGUGAGAGUGGAAAGCUCAUCAAGUGACGGUAACUACCCAGAAAGGGACGGCUAACUACGUG